rnacentral:rRNA from 1 species
GAUGAACGCUGGCGGCGUGCCUAAUACAUGCAAGUCGAGCGAACAGACGAGGAGCUUGCUCCUCUGACGUUAGCGGCGGACGGGUGAGUAACACGUGGAUAACCUACCUAUAAGACUGGGAUAACUUCGGGAAACCGGAGCUGAUACUGGAUAAUAUAUUGAACCGCAUGGUUCAAUAGUGAAAGACGGCUUUGCUGUCACUUAUAGAUGGAUCCGCGCCGCAUUAGCUAGUUGGUAAGGUAACGGCUUACCAAGGCAACGAUACGUAGCCGACCUGAGAGGGUGAUCGGCCACACUGGAACUGAGACACGGUCCAGACUCCUACGGGAGGCAGCAGUAGGGAAUCUUCCGCAAUGGGCGAAAGCUUGACGGAGCAACGCCGCGUGAGUGAUGAAGGUCUUCGGAUCGUAAAACUCUGUUAUUAGGGAAGAACAAAUGUGUAAGUAACUAUGCACGUCUUGACGGUACCUAAUCAGAAAGCCACGGCUAACUACGUG